rnacentral:rRNA from 1 species
GCGAAGCUCCUGAUCGAAGCCCCAGUAAACGGCGGCCGUAACUAUAACGGUCCUAAGGUAGCGAAAUUCCUUGUCGGGUAAGUUCCGACCUGCACGAAUGGCGUAAUGAUGGCCAGGCUGUCUCCACCCGAGACUCAGUGAAAUUGAACUCGCUGUGAAGAUGCAGUGUACCCGCGGCAAGACGGAAAGACCCCGUGAACCUUUACUAUAGCUUGACACUGAACAUUGAGCCUUGAUGUGUAGGAUAGGUGGGAGGCUUUGAAGUGUGGACGCCAGUCUGCAUGGAGCCAACCUUGAAAUACCACCCUUUAACGUUUGAUGUUCUAACCUAGGCCCAUAAACUGGGUCGGGGACCGUGUCUGGUGGGUAGUUUGACUGGGGCGGUCUCCUCCUAAAGAGUAACGGAGGAGCACGAAGGUUGGCUAAGCAUGGUCGGACAUCAUGCGGUUAGUGCAAAGGCAUAAGCCAGCUUGACUGCGAGAGUGACGGCUCGAGCAGGUACGAAAGUAGGUCUUAGUGAUCCGGUGGUUCUGAAUGGAAGGGCCAUCGCUCAACGGAUAAAAGGUACUCCGGGGAUAACAGGCUGAUACCGCCCAAGAGUUCAUAUCGACGGCGGUGUUUGGCACCUCGAUGUCGGCUCAUCACAUCCUGGGGCUGAAGUAGGUCCCAAGGGUAUGGCUGUUCGCCAUUUAAAGUGGUACGCGAGCUGGGUUUAGAACGUCGUGAGACAGUUCGGUCCCUAUCUGCCGUGGGCGUUGGAAGAUUGAGAGGGGUUGCUCCUAGUACGAGAGGACCGGAGUGAACGCACCACUGGUGUUCGGGUUGUCAUGCCAAUGGCAUUGCCCGGUAGCUAAGUGCGGAAGAGAUAACCGCUGAAAGCAUCUAAGCGGGAAACUUGCCUCGAGAUGAGUCUUCCCUGUCGCUUUAAGCGACCUAAAGGAACGUUUAAGACUAAGACGUUGAUAGGCUGGGUGUGUAAGCGUAGCGAUACGUUGAGCUAACCAGUACUAAUGAACCGUGAGGCUUAACCU